UUAUUUUUUAUUUCUAGUGUUUUUCAAAAAAGAAGCAGAAUGCUUCUUCUUCCUUGCUCCCUCUCCAUUUUUGCUAGGAGUUCAACCUAGCUUGCGUCACCCUGGAAGAUCAUCGGUGCCACGCACCUCUACCCCAUCGCCGGUUCACGGAUCAAGACUGGGUGUUAUUGUGGAUAUCUUGGAAGCACAAGGCAUGACAAAGAGGGACUGCUGGUAGCGCACGUCUCGGAGGUGCAGUGGAUGGUGGAGGCAUGUGGGGAUGGGGUAUUUGGGGUGAAUUUUGUUUUGGUUUUGGGCUGUUUUGGGUUAUAGGAUUGGGCUAGUGGUUAAUGGGUUUGAUUAGUGGGCUAGGCAAAGAAAAUUGGUCCAACACUACUGAGACUUCAAUUCAAAUAAAACAUUAAUUGAUAUAUAACACUUGGUUAUUUUCAUCAAGUUAGUAAAUGUAUUUGAAAAUUAACUUAUAAUAAAGUGAAUUACCUUUUUUGAA